rnacentral:rRNA from 1 species
UGGGGAAUUUUGCACAAUGGGGGAAACCCUGAUGCAGCGACGCCGCGUGAUUUAGAAGGCCUUCGGGUUGUAAAAAUCCUUUCUAUGGGAAGAAAAUGACAGUACCAUAGGAAUAAGGACCGGCUAAUUACGUGCCAGCAGCCGCGGUAAUACGUAAGGUCCGAGCGUUGUCCGGAAUCAUUGGGCGUAAAGGGUACGUAGGCGGGUAAGCAAGUUAGAAGUGAAAUCCUAUAGCUUAACUAUAGUAAGCUUUUAAAACUGCUCAGCUUGAGGUAAGGAAGGGAAAGUGGAAUUCCUAGUGUAGUGGUGAAAUGCGCAGAUAUUAGGAGGAAUACCGGUGGCGAAGGCGACUUUCUGGCCAUAACCUGACGCUGAGGUACGAAAGCGUGGGUAGCAAACAGG